rnacentral:lncRNA from 1 species
GUCAAGGACAAAGGUAAAACGAGUUGUCAAUAUAGUAAAUAAAUAUUGUAAUAAAUCUGUACUAAGAGCACCCUUCCUAAAGAAGUCAGUGUUUAACAGACACUGCCUUGUUCAUCCUCACAUUUCCUUGUGGUAAUCAGGAAGCAUGCACAGCUGCCACCAUACAGAAAGCAGAUGAAAGCAGGGUGGCUAUAUGGAUUGCAUUAGGAAGACCCUUGUUCAAAUCUUGUUUCUGAUACUGUGUGACCAUGGACAAGAUACUUCGUCAAGCAACUCUCUGUCAUAGAUCAUAAAUUUAGACCUGGAAGGCACGAAAAGAGCCAUCUAAUUUGACCUCCUCAUUUUUUUAUGGAUGAAGAAAACAAGACACAGAAGGCAAAAACAAUUUGUCCAAAGUCUUAGGAAUACUGUGAAUCAAAGCCCUUUGUUUGGGAUGAGAUUCUUAAAUUUACUUUAUUGGUUGCCCAGAAGAACACCUGGAACGACCCAAUGGAGUGGUCAACUUUGUCAGCAUGCUCAGUAUCUGCUACCUCCUAGAAACCAUGCCCUCCUACAGAUAAUACCUCAUUAUAUCAUACCAGUCUGGAGAAAAGAAAAAAAAAUAAAAAAAGGCUCACUAUAUACAGAAGAUGAGCUUCAUCUGCGUUUGAGAGAUGAUCCUUCUCUAUUUGAUGGCUGA